rnacentral:rRNA from 1 species
GAUGAACGCUGGCGGCGUGCCUAAUACAUGCAAGUCGAGCGAACAGACGAGGAGCUUGCUCCUCUGACGUUAGCGGCGGACGGGUGAGUAACACGUGGAUAACCUACCUAUAAGGCUGGGAUAACUUCGGGAAACCGGAGCUAAUACCGGAUAAUAUAUUGAACCGCAUGGUUCAAUAGUGAAAGACGGUUUUGCUGUCACUUAUAGAUGGAUCCGCGCCGAAUUAGCUAGUUGGUAAGGUAACGGCUUACCAAGGCGACGAUGCGUAGCCGACCUGAGAGGGUGAUCGGCCACACUGGAACUGAGACACGGUCCAGACUCCUACGGGAGGCAGCAGUAGGGAAUCUUCCGCAAUGGGCGAAAGCCUGACGGAGCAACGCCGCGUGAGUGAUGAAGGUCUUCGGAUCGUAAAACUCUGUUAUUAGGGAAGAACAAAUGUGUAAGUAACUAUGCACGUCUUGACGGUACCUAAUCAGAAAGCCACGGCUAACUACGUG